rnacentral:rRNA from 1 species
GAUGAACGCUGGCGGCGUGCCUAAUACAUGCAAGUCGAGCGAACAGACGAGGAGCUUGCUCCUCUGACGUUAGCGGCGGACGGGUGAGUAACACGUGGAUAACCUACCUAUAAGACUGGGAUAACUUCGGGAAACCGGAGCUAAUACCGGAUAAUAUAUUGAACCGCAUGGUUCAAUAGUGAAAGACGGUUUUGCUGUCACUUAUAGAUGGAUCCGCGCCGCAUUAGCUAGUUGGUAAGGUAACGGCUUACCAAGGCAACGAUGCGUAGCCGACCUGAGAGGGUGAUCGGCCACACUGGAACUGAGACACGGUCCAGUCUCCUACGGGAGGCAGCAGUAGGGAAUCUUCCGCAGUGGGCGAAAGCCUGACGGAGCAACGCCGCGUGAGUGAUGAAGGUCUUCUGAUCGUAAAACUCUGUUAUUAGGGAAGAACAAAUGUGUAAGUAACUAUGCACGUCUUGACGGUACCUAAUCAGAAAGCCACGGCUAACUACGU